GACGAACGCUGGCGGCGUGCCUAAUACAUGCAAGUAGAACGCUGAAGGAGGAGCUUGCUCUUCUGGAUGAGUUGCGAACGGGUGAGUAACGCGUAGGUAACCUGCCUGGUAGCGGGGGAUAACUAUUGGAAACGAUAGCUAAUACCGCAUAACAGUAGAUGUUGCAUGACAUUUACUUAAAAGGUGCAAUUGCAUCACUACCAGAUGGACCUGCGUUGUAUUAGCUAGUUGGUGGGGUAACGGCUCACCAAGGCGACGAUACAUAGCCGACCUGAGAGGGUGAUCGGCCACACUGGGACUGAGACACGGCCCAGACUCCUACGGGAGGCAGCAGUAGGGAAUCUUCGGUAAUGGACGGAAGUCUGACCGAGCAACGCCGCGUGAGUGAAGAAGGUUUUCGGAUCGUAAAGCUCUGUUGUAAGAGAAGAACGAGUGUGAGAGUGGAAAGUUCACACUGUGACGGUAUCUUACCAGAAAGGGACGGCUAACUACGUG
rnacentral:rRNA from 1 species